UCCCCUACGGGGCGCAGCAGUGGGGAAUAUUGGGCAAUGGAGGAAACUCUUACCCAGCAAUGCCGCGUGAAUGAAGAAGGUCUUCGGAUUGUAAAGUUCUUUAAUUGGGGACGAAAAAAAUGACGGUACCCAAGGAAUAAGCACCGGCUAACUCCGUGCCAGCAGCCGCGGUAAUACGGAGGGUGCAAGCGUUACUCGGAAUCACUGGGCGUAAAGAGCGCGUAGGCGGGAUAGCAAGUCAGAUGUGAAAUCCUAUGGCUUAACCAUAGAACUGCAUUUGAAACUGUUAUUCUAGAGUAUGGGAG
rnacentral:rRNA from 1 species